AUUGAACGCUGGCGGCAGGCCUAACACAUGCAAGUCGAACGAGUGGCGGACGGGUGAGUAAUGUCUGGGAAACUGCCCGAUGGAGGGGGAUAACUACUGGAAACGGUAGCUAAUACCGCAUACCAUCGGAUGUGCCCAGAUGGGAUUAGCUAGUAGGUGGGGUAAAGGCUCACCUAGGCGACGAUCCGUAGCUGGUCUGAGAGGAUGACCAGCAACACUGGGACUGAGACACGGUCCAGACUCCUACGGGGGGCAGCAGUGGGGAAUAUUGCACAAUGGGCGCAAGCCUGAUGCAGCCAUGCCGCGUGUAUGAAGAAGGCCUUCGGGUUGUAAAGUACUUUCAGCGGGGAGGCGUUACCCGCAGAAGAAGCACCGGCUAACUCCGUGCCAGCAGCCGCGGUAAUAC
rnacentral:rRNA from 1 species